rnacentral:rRNA from 1 species
AUUGAACGCUUGCGGCAGGCCUAACACAUGCAAGUCGAGCGGAGCGGCGGACGGGUGAGUAAUGCCUAGGAAUCUGCCUGGUAGUGGGGGAUCACGUCCGGAAACGGGCGCUAAUACCGCAUACCAUCAGAUGAGUCUAGGUCGGAUUAGCUAGUUGGUUGGGUAAAGGACUACCAAGGCGACGAUCCGUAACUGGUAUGAGAGGAUGAUCAGUCGCACUGGAACUGAGACACGGUCCUGACUCCUACGGGAGGCAGCAGUGGGGAAUAGAGGACAAGGGGCGACAGCCUGAUACAGCCAUUCCGCAUGUGUGCAGAAGGUCUUCGGAUUAUAAAGCACUUUAAGUUGGGAGGCGUUACCAACAGAAUAAGCACCGGCUAAGUUCGUGCCAGCAGCCGCGGUAAUUC